rnacentral:rRNA from 1 species
UACGUAGGGGGCAAGCGUUGUCCGGAAUCAUUGGGCGUAAAGAGCGUGUAGGCGGCCCGAUAAGUCCGCCGUGAAAGUCCAGGGCUCAACCCUGGAAUGCCGGUGGAAACUGUCGGGCUGGAGUCCGGAAGAGGCGAGUGGAAUUCCUGGUGUAGCGGUGAAAUGCGCAGAUAUCAGGAGGAACACCUAUAGCGAAGGCAGCUCGCUGGGACGACACUGACGCUGAGACGCGAAAGCGUGGGGAGCGAACAGG